rnacentral:tRNA from 1 species
UCCUUCUUGGCGCAAUUGGCUAGCGCGUUCGGCUGUUACUCUAGUACAAAGAGAAGCAAACCGGAAGGUUUCAAGUUCGAAUCUUGGAGAGGGAG